GGACUUAUUCAGCAGAACCCCCAAGAAGAUGCAGACUAAGAAAUGCCAAUGCUUUGAUGGGUACAAGGAAGAAAUAGGACUAAGACAAGACAAAUAAUGGAGGACUUACAUGGCAGAGUGUGGUGAGGAGAAAGGAAGUGCCAGAUUUAUCCCAUGAUCUGAAAUUCGACCACGUAUGAGCAACUGUAUAUGAGAAAGAGCUACUAAAUAAGACAUUCUGUUUCCUGGUGAGGAAGGAGAGAGUAAUGAGCAAAUCAUGCUCCUGGUGUUAU
rnacentral:lncRNA from 1 species